UACGGGGGGAGCAAGCGUUGUUCGGAUUUACUGGGCGUAAAGGGCGCGUAGGCGGCCACCGCAAGUCAAUUGUGAAAUCUCCGGGCUUAACUCGGAAAGGUCAACUGAUACUGCGGGGCUAGAGUGCGGAAGGGGCAACUGGAAUUCUCGGUGUAGCGGCGAAAUGCGUAGAUAUCGAGAGGAACACCUGCGGCGAAGGCGGGUUGCUGGGCCGACACUGACGCUGAGGCGCGAAAGCGUGGGGAGCAAACAGG
rnacentral:rRNA from 1 species